rnacentral:rRNA from 1 species
GUGAAAAAGAACCUGAAACCGUGUACGUACAAGCAGUGGGAGCACAGGUUUACCUGUGUGACUGCGUACCUUUUGUAUAAUGGGUCAGCGACUUAUAUUCUGUAGCAAGGUUAACCGAAUAGGGGAGCCGGAGGGAAACCGAGUCUUAAUUGGGCGUUAAGUUGCAGGGUAUAGACCCGAAACCCGGUGAUCUAGCCAUGGGCAGGUUGAAGGUUGGGUAACACUAACUGGAGGACCGAACCGACUAAUGUUGAAAAAUUAGCGGAUGACCUGUGGCUGGGGGUGAAAGGCCAAUCAAACCGGGAGAUAGCUGGUUCUCCCCGAAAGCUAUUUAGGUAGCGCCUCGUGAAUUCAUCUCCGGGGGUAGAGCACUGUUUCGGCUAGGGGGCCAUCCCGGCUUACCAACCCGAUGCAAACUGCGAAUACCGGAGAAUGUUAUCACGGGAGACACACGGCGGGUGCUAACGUCCGUCGUGAAGAGGGAAACAACCCAGACCGCCAGCUAAGGUCCCAAAGUCAUGGUUAAGUGGGAAACGAUGUGGGAAGGCCCAGACAGCCAGGAUGUUGGCUUAGAAGCAGCCAUCAUUUAAAGAAAGCGUAAUAGCUCACUGGUCGAGUCGGCCUGCGCGGAAGAUGUAACGGGGCUAAACCAU